rnacentral:lncRNA from 1 species
UAACCUCAGAAGUCACAUUCUAUAGAAUCCUCUUAGUAAAGGCAGGUCAGCCUUUUUUAGUGGGAGAGGGGUUACAGAAGUGCAGGAGUACCUGAAGGAAUCAGUGGAGGCGUCUGGGACGCUGGCCAUCACAGGGGUCUUCGGGAAGGAUGUUGGGAGCCUGGUGGUUUCUGAGCCAACAAGCACAUAUACAUAUGUGUGUGAAGCCUGGGAAUGAGACGGCAAGUUUUUGGUACCUUCAGGUAGCACCUUUCUCCAAGGAGCUCAGAAAGCUGCAUGAACAUUAUUCAGCAUUAUAUAUGGUGCUUCUGUUCUCACGUGUUUGUUUGAAUUGUUCAGUUCUGCUUCCACUGUGGUUUCUUUUUUUCCCGUUUUUCUCCUGUUGCUACUUGCAGUUAUAAUGUUCUGGUAUAUCCAUUUACUAAAGUGACUCAAGACUUAUGUUUUAGGAAUCUAGAAUACCAAGAUAGCAUGCUGAAAAAAAGAAGUUUUUUAUAUGAUUGCAACCUAGUGAUUCAGCCUUUUAUAUAUUACAUAUUGAAUAAAUGUAUGAACAUUCUCA